AUCUGCAGUGUGUGCUGGCAGCCAGUCUAGUGCAUGCUCUCUCGCUCUCCGAUGAGAUCCUGGCCGAAGCAAAGGUAGAGAGAGAGCAGGUCGGAGCAGAAGCUAGGCCCAGCCGGGCCGGGCCCAUGCUGUACAAAGAGGAGGAGGAGGAGUACAACAGGCCGGCCGGGCUCUCCCUUUUGCUCUGCAUCCAUUGCAGCAGCCUUUUAGGGUUGGAGAGUGACCGCCCGGCCGCGCCAUCUUUUUUCCGCCCAAUAUCGUCGUACCGCCCAUACCCUCCUCCGGCUCUGGCCUCGCUGCACUUGCAUCGUCUUCACUUAACUCCUCGCAGGC
rnacentral:misc_RNA from 1 species